rnacentral:rRNA from 1 species
AUUGAACGCUGGCGGCAGGCCUUACACAUGCAAGUCGAACGGCAGCACGGGAGCAAUCCUGGUGGCGAGUGGCGAACGGGUGAGUAAUAUAUCGGAACGUGCCCAGUAGUGGGGGAUAACUGCUCGGAAGAGCAGCUAAUACCGCAUACGACCUAAGGGUGAAAGGGGGGGAUCGCAAGACCUCUCGCUAUUGGAGCGGCCGAUAUCAGAUUAGCUAGUUGGGGGGGUAAAGGCCUACCAAGGCAACGAUCUGUAGUUGGUCUGAGAGGACGACCAGCGACACUGGGACUGAGGCACGGCCGAGAGUCCGACGGCGAGCAGCAGUGGGGAAUUGUGGACAAUCGGGGCAAGGCUGAUCCAGCAAUGCCUCGUGCAGGAAGAAGGCCUUCGGGUUGUAAACUGCUUUUGUCAGGGAAGAAAUCCUCUAGGUUAAUACCCUUGGGGGGAUUACGGUACCUGAAGAAUAAGCACCGGCUAACUACGUGCCAGCCGCCGCCGUAAGAC